GUGCCAGCAGCCGCGGUAAUACGGAGGAUCCAAGCGUUAUCCGGAUUUAUUGGGUUUAAAGGGUGCGUAGGCGGUUUAUUAAGUCAGUGGUGAAAGCCCGGAGCUCAGCUUCGGAACUGCCAUUGAAACUGAUAGACUUGAGUGUACAUGAAGUGGGCGGAAUGAGACAAGUAGCGGUGAAAUGCAUAGAUAUGUCUCANAACACCGAUAGCGAAGGCAGCUCACUAAAAUACAACUGACGCUGAGGCACGAAAGCGUGGGGAUCAAACAGGAUUAGAUACCCUGGUAGUCCACGCCCUAAACGAUGAUUACUCGCUGUUAGCGAUAGACAGUUAGCGGCUAAGCGAAAGCGUUAAGUAAUCCACCUGGGGAGUACGGUCGCAAGAUUGAAACUCAAAGGAAUUGACGGGGGCCCGCACAAGCGGAGGAGCAUGUGGUUUAAUUCGAUGAUACGCGAGGAACCUUACCCGGGCUUGAAAGUUAGUGAAGGAUUUAGAAAUAAGUUCGUCCGCAAGGACACGAAACUAGGUGCUGCAUGGCUGUCGUCAGCUCGUGCCGUGAGGUGUUGGGUUAAGUCCCGCAACGAGCGCAACCCCUAUGUUUAGUUGCCAGCACGUUAUGGUGGGAACUCUAAACAGACUGCCUGUGCAAACAGUGAGGAAGGUGGGGACGACGUCAAGUCAUCAUGGCCCUUACGUCCGGGGCUACACACGUGCUACAAUGGACGAUACAACGGACAGCUACUUGGUAACAAGAUGCAAAUCUCCCCAAAAGUCGUUUCACAGU
rnacentral:rRNA from 1 species